rnacentral:lncRNA from 1 species
UGUUUUAUAGUUGAGUGGCUUUAGGGUAAUUUAAUCACCUGGAAAGUGAUAUUUUUUUAAUUACCUUUUGUUACUAAAUCUUAUCUAAUUUAAAAUACUAUGUUUUGAAAGUAUAUAUCUUGUAUAGUUAUCUUUUUAUAUGAAAAUGAACUCUAAUACAUAUCUUUCUUUCAGUGUUCAUAUCACAAAGCUCAAUUAAAUGGUCCUGGAAAAAAAAAAUCGUUCCAUGUUGUUCCAGGUCCCGUUCAAGAAGUUCUUCCAGUUCGCAGUCAAGAUCUCGUUCCAGUUCCAGAGAACGUUCGAGAUCUCGUGGGUCGAAAUCAAGAUCCAGCUCCAGGUCCCACAGGGGCUCUUCUUCCCCACGAAAAAGAUCUUAUUCAAGUUCAUCAUCUUCUCCUGAGAGGAACAGAAAGAGAAGUCGUUCUAGAUCUUCUUCAUCUGGUGAUCGCAAAAAAAGACGAACAAGAUCACGGUCACCCGAAAGACGCCACAGGUCAUCAUCUGGAUCAUCCCAUUCUGGUUCCCGUUCAAGUUCAAAAAAGAAAUAAUGUAUUAAAAUUUACAUCUUAAAAAAAUCCA